rnacentral:rRNA from 1 species
UGGGGAAUUUUGGACAAUGGGGGAAACCCUGAUCCAGCCAUCCCGCGUGUGCGAUGAAGGCCUUCGGGUUGUAAAGCACUUUUGGCAGGAAAGAAACGUCAUGGGUUAAUACCCCGUGAAACUGACGGUACCUGCAGAAUAAGCACCGGCUAACUACGUGCCAGCAGCCGCGGUAAUACGUAGGGUGCAAGCGUUAAUCGGAAUUACUUGGCGUAAAGCGUGCGCAGGCGGUUCGGAAAGAAAGAUGUGAAAUCCCAGAGCUUAACUUUGGAACUGCAUUUUUAACUACCGGGCUAGAGUGUGUCAGAGGGAGGUGGAAUUCCGCGUGUAGCAGUGAAAUGCGUAGAUAUGCGGAGGAACACCGAUGGCGAAGGCAGCCUCCUGGGAUAACACUGACGCUCAUGCACGAAAGCGUGGGGAGCAAACA